GGAAAAUAUCAAACAGAUACAAAUAAAACACCCUGCAGGGGAGGGAGCGAGGGGGAGGAGGGCAGUCAAGGCUUCCUACGGACUCCACGUAUACCCUACUCCAAUAAUGAGUCUUCCCAAGGAGGCGGAUCGCAGAGGAGCCGGGUGAGCACGUGCAAUGAAGCCCAGCCCUGUGGGCAGGGUCCAGGAGAGGCGGAGUUUGGAGGUAUUUGCUAGGGCCUUCCUCCGCGGCUGCGGGACAAAUUGGACCGGAGAUUGAAGGACUUAAGUUUAACUCGAGAUGGGCAAACCAAGCUCCAGGCCAUGGAUUCCAUUAAAGAAAACCCCAGGCUCUUAACUUCAGGUGUUUUUAAGCUCUCCAUCUAAAAAUGACUCUUUACCCAGCCUUGUUCGCCUUGCCCCUCCGCAGCUUCAAAUGGAGUUGAUUCGAACAGGGACGGAAUCCAAUUGGAAGAUUCCAAAUGCCCGGUCCUCUGCGUCAGUUUCCCGAAGAUUUCCAGAAGCAAAAUCCGAUACUUAGUAGCUUCUCCCCUUCUCCCGGCUGUCUACCUCCCAUGGCCACCAGGUGGCGCGCGGCCACCGGUCACUGGUCCUGCCGGGUGUCUGCCUUCUGCUACCCUCUCAGGGAAGGACUCUUCGCGGCUGCCGCCCAAGGACCUAAGCCUUACCUGGCCUGCUGGACGACAAAGAGCAAGAACACUGGUGCUCUGCCUGCCUCUGUUUCGCUUCAUCACUGAAGACUCGUUCGCUUUGCCUUCCUCCCACCCGCCCUGCCAGUCCUGUGGUUCCUCUAUGUCAUUUUUGCUUAAUUUUAAGUCCUCAUCCUGUCAUUCAUACCUCUGUCUGGGCUGACCCCUUCCCUCACCUGCAACGCAGUAGGUUUUACAACACUUACCUGCACUUGCGAGUGGCUGUAACUUACCAACCGGUAUUUCAUCCUUAAUCUGUGUGGGCCACCGUUCUGAGUUAUUUACAUGUGAAUGCUGGGUAAUCUAAAGCUCAUAUCCACCUCUGUAAGGUAACUCCAGUAUUGUCCCUAUCAUAUACUGAUGAAAUCACCCAGAAGUUAUGGGGAUUCCAACCCCAGUCAAUCAGACACCAGAACCUGUACCCUUGGGGUCUUCAAGCUGGAAUGCCCCUGACUUCAUCCAGCCCACUCCCCAAACUCCUAUUCAUCAUUCAUGAUCUUGUUCAAAUAUCUCUUCACCUUCCUUAGUACCUCCCGCUAAGGAACAGCUAGGUUUCCUCUGUGUUCCCACGUGAUUCCGUUGAGCUGUCUGUAAGAAAUGAUUUCUCUGGGAUUGCUGCCACACUACCAUUGCUGGAGCCACCGAGGCAGGCUGUUCCUCCCAAGAACAGGGAGCAGUGCUUCUGGACUAGAAGAGAGCCCUUAGCUUUUUGGGAAAGUGGAAGACAGAACGUGGAUCCUCUGCACCAUUUCCCUCAGCCCUGGGUUCUGAAAUAUGUCAGGACCACAUGGCUUUCCUAAGGGCCAGAUUUUCCCUCCUUUAUCACAGGCCUCUGGCAGUAGUGAGUUCCCCUUCCGUGGAGAUUCAGUCACCAUCUAAACGGCCCUGCAGAAACCACCUGCAGCGCCGGGGGGUUUCAUUUGUGGAUGAAAAUUCUAAAUCAGCCCUCAGUGAUGGGCAGAAGAGUUCAAACACUCAGCCCCUGGAAGGAACUUCUCCUUGAAC